rnacentral:lncRNA from 1 species
GAAUCCAUCUUUAAUUAGGAAUCCUUCUUGGACUAGGAUUUCAUCUUCAAUUUGGCUCUUUUCCUACUUCAACUAGGAAUCCUUGCUCAAGUAGGAAUCAUCAUCUUCAAAUCUUCAUUUUCGUCCAAACCCUUGGCUCCAAAUAUAUGAUAUCCAAUCCAAGCUCCAUUUUGCUCCAAAAGGCUCCAAAUUGCAUCUUUUUAUGUAAUAUGCCUUUAAAACCUGAAAACACAAGAAACUAGCUUAAAAGACUACUUUAAACUAAGAAAACAUAACGAAAAUGCAUAAGAACUAGUUAACUAAGGCGCAUAAAUAUGCUCCUAUCAGCAACGCAGAUGUGCAAUUUGACAAAUGCUGACACAUCUCGGUAAAGC